UACGUAGGGUGCAAGCGUUGUCCGGAAUUAUUGGGCGUAAAGAGCUCGUAGGCGGUCUGUCGCGUCGGCUGUGAAAUCCCGGAGCUCAACUCCGGGUCUGCAGUCGAUACGGGCAGACUGGAGUUCGGCAGGGGAGACUGGAAUUCCUGGUGUAGCGGUGAAAUGCGCAGAUAUCAGGAGGAACACCGGUGGCGAAGGCGGGUCUCUGGGCCGAUACUGACGCUGAGGAGCGAAAGCGUGGGGGGCGAACAGG
rnacentral:rRNA from 1 species